rfam:Nocardioides sp. Root151 contig_4, whole genome shotgun sequence.
UUCGGCGGCCAUAGCGAUGGGGAAACACCCGGCUCCAUUCCGAACCCGGAAGUUAAGCCCUUCAGCGCCGAUGGUACUGCAACCGGGAGGUUGUGGGAGAGUAGGACGUCGCCGGAC